rnacentral:rRNA from 1 species
UACGGAGGGUGCAAGCGUUGUUCGGAUUUAUUGGGCGUAAAGCGCGUGUAGGCGGUUUCUUAAGUCUGAUGUGAAAGCCCUGGGCUCAACCCAGGAAGUGCAUUGGAUACUGGGAGACUUGAAUACGGGAGAGGGUAGUGGAAUUCCUAGUGUAGGAGUGAAAUCCGUAGAUAUUAGGAGGAACACCGGUGGCGAAGGCGGCUACCUGGACCGAUAUUGACGCUGAGACGCGAAAGCGUGGGGGAGCAAACAGG